rnacentral:misc_RNA from 1 species
AUCGACACUUUGAACGCAUAUUGCAGGCUUGUGCUUGUCACAGGCCUACCCUUGUAUCAGGGUCGGUUGAACGACAUCCAUCAGGAGGGCUCUGCUCUCCUGCACUGUGUCUCUUUGGCUGGGCCUGGCCCCGGUUCAAGACACGAAGGUGAGCCCGGACAGGUUGACUUGCUUCACAACUCUAGGGUUUCAUUCCCGGGUUGGUGGCGAGCUGUCCGGCUCUGAAGCAUGUGAGGAGCGACUGGUCCUCUUUCAUUGCUUACCUUUUUAUUUCGACCUGACAUCAAGGGAGGC